rnacentral:rRNA from 1 species
GUCUAUGGCCAUGCCACCCUGAACGUGCCAGAUCUUGUCUGAUUUUUGGAAACUUAAGAAGGUUGGGCCUGGUUAGUACUUGGAUGGGAGACCACCUAGAAAGACCAGGUGCUGUAGGUA